rnacentral:rRNA from 1 species
AAAAAAAAAAACUUUGGGAUAACUUCAGGAAACUGGGGCUAAUACCGGAUAUUAGCUCCUGCUGCAUUGUGUGGGUUGGAAAGUUUCGGCGGUUGGGGAUGGACUCGCGGCUUAUCAGCGUGUUGGUGGGGUAGUGGCUUACCAAGGCUUUGACGGGUAGCCGGCCUGAGAGGGUGACCGGCCAAAUUGGGACUGAGAUACGGCACAGACUCCUACGGGAGGCAGCAGUGGGGAAUAUUGCACAAUGGGCGGAAUUUUUUUGAUGACACGGCGACCGCCGGA